CUAUACAGUCUAUUGCCUUCC
rnacentral:miRNA from 1 species